UCCGUGCCAGCAGCCGCGGUAAUACGGAGGGUGCAAGCGUUGUCCGGAAUCAUUGGGCGUAAAGAGUUCGUAGGUGGUUUGUUAAGUUUGGUGUUAAAUGCAGAGGCUCAACUUCUGUUCGGCAUCGGAUACUGGCAGACUAGAAUGCGGUAGAGGUAAAGGGAAUUCCUGGUGUAGCGGUGAAAUGCGUAGAUAUCAGGAGGAACAUCGGUGGCGUAAGCGCUUUACUGGGCCGUAAUUGACACUGAGGAACGAAAGCCAGGGUAGCAAAUGGGAUUAGAUACCCCAGUAGUCCUGGCCGUAAACGAUGGAUACUAGGUGUUGCGGGUAUCGACCCCUGCAGUGCCGUAGCUAACGCGUUAAGUAUCCCGCCUGGGGAGUACGCACGCAAGUGUGAAACUCAAAGGAAUUGACGGGGACCCGCACAAGCGGUGGAACAUGUGGUUUAAUUCGAAGCAACGCGAAGAACCUUACCAGGGCUUGACAUCUAACAAACCUUUGUGAAAGCAGAGGGUGCUCUUCGGAGAAUGUUAAGACAGGUGGUGCACGGUUGUCGUCAGCUCGUGUCGUGAGAUGUUGGGUUAAGUCCCGCAACGAGCGCAACCCUCGUCGUUAGUUGGUACUAUCGGUAUACUUAUAGUAACCUCUCUAGCGAGACUGCCGGUGAUAAACCGGAGGAAGGUGAGGACGACGUCAAAUCAUCAUGCCCCUUAUGCUCUGGGCUACACACGUGUUACAAUGGCCGGUACAAUGAGCCGCCAACUCGCGAGAGUGAGCAAAUCUCUAAAAGCCGGUCUCAGUUCGGAUUGCAGUCUGCAACUCGACUGCAUGAAGUCGGAAUCGCUAGUAAACGCAGAUCAGCACGCUGCGUUGAAUACGUUCCCGGGUCUUGUACACACCGCCCGUCACACCAUGGAAGUCGACCACGCCCGAAGUACGUGAGCUAACCGUAAGGAAGCAGCGUCCUAAGGCAGGGUUGGUGACUGGGGUGAAGUCGUAACAAGGUAGCCGUACCGGAAGGUGUGGCUG
rnacentral:rRNA from 1 species